rnacentral:rRNA from 1 species
CACGUAGGAGGCAAGCGUUAUCCGGAUUUACUGGGCGUAAAGCGCAUGCAGGUGGUGCGGUAAGUUGGAUGUGAAAGCUCCUGGCUCAACUGGGAGAGGUCGUUCAAUACUACCGGACUUGAGAGCAGUAGAGGAAGGUGGAAUUCCCGGUGUAGUGGUGAAAUGCGUAGAUAUCGGGAGGAACACCAGUGGCGAAAGCGGCCUUCUGGACUGUUUCUGACACUCAUAUGCGAAAGCUAGGGUAGCAAACGGG